rnacentral:sRNA from 1 species
AUGAACCGUAUGCAUCAAAAGGUGCAUGUACGGUUCACUUCGUAAU